UACGUAGGGUGCAAGCGUUAAUCGGAAUUACUGGGCGUAAAGCGUGCGCAGGCGGUUUUGUAAGUCUGUCGUGAAAUCCCCGGGCUCAACCUGGGAAUUGCGAUGGAGACUGCAAGGCUAGAAUCUGGCAGAGGGGGGGUAGAAUUCCACGUGUAGCAGUGAAAUGCGUAGAGAUGUGGAGGAACACCGAUGGCGAAGGCAAUCCCCUGGACCUGUACUGACGCUCAUGCACGAAAGCGUGGGGAGCAAACAGG
rnacentral:rRNA from 1 species